rfam:Operophtera brumata OBRT01_Sc01220, whole genome shotgun sequence.
UGAUGAUAUUUGUGGGCGAGUAUGCUUCUGGUGCAUGUUCAUUACAUUCAUGACUAGAUCCAUACUCGUCUGCAGCCAUCAAUG